AACCAGAAAAGUAUAAAGAUUAAUUCAGUGGAAAAACUUCCCGUCGAUCAAUCAAUCUGAAAGUUUUUUAGGGUAAAGGCUUAAAAGCAUAGAUAGUAUUUAUUAAGUUUAAUACACUUAUUUUUAUUAAAGAAAAUAUUUACUAAUUACUACGGGCGCCCGGGCGUGUCCUGUCAUAGCUAUGAACGAUAAAGUUAUAGAAUUCAACUAUAUAAUAUCAAUUCACGUCAACUUCUUAACUUCAAUAGGUACAUAAUAUAUUUUGUCUUUCAAUACCCCAAUAAUAAGUUUGAAUUGCUUAAUAUCUGCUGCUUUUAAUUAUUUAUAAUAAAAAGUCUUUCAAUACCCCAAUAAUAAGUUUGAAAUGCUUAAUAUCUGCUGCUUUUCAUUAUUUAUAAUAAAUAAAAAAAGCAUAUUAAUAUUAAAAUAGGUAAUUUUUAGUAAUCAAUUCUCAUCAUUAAAUUCUAUUUCUGAAACUAUUGGCUUGUGGUAACUAAAAUAAGACAGGUUCAUAUGUUUCCGAAUUUUGCGAUUCUAUUUUGUGCAAAUUCUUUAAAAACUAUUGAUGCUCAAUAGUAGUACCACAUCUCGUUGUCGAUUCUUUUGGAUUGUUUUUAAUGCGCAUGCGCGUUGCUUGUACAUGAAUUCAUGAUUUUAGAAUAAUAGGCUUAUUACACUUGGCUGAAUUCAGACGACUGAAUUCAGUCGCUACUUAAUUCAGUCAAGUGUAAUAGCAUUAAGUAAGUUAGUCUACUGAAUUCAGUAGCAAGGAUGGUUUCUGACUGACUGAAUCAUUUAGAAGCCUAAUUAGAAACGCAUUUAGGAAGGUGCAAUCGCAUUUAGUAGAUAUUAAUUAUAUUAUAAUAGAAUAAUUGAUUAUAAUAGACUAUCGUAGGAUAGUAUCCUGCUUUUUUAUAAACGGUGUCACAAGGUUUAUUAAUAGGUCAAACGAGAUCGAAUCCAUUUAUAGAUAUUUUUUGAAGUCUGCUGGUUCUAAAUCACUAAUAAUGUUCAUAUUUGCUAACAUUCCGCACAGCAAUAAAUAUUUCUUCACCGAUAUUCUUGUUUUUAUUUUGAGAAAUUGAAACAAAAACAAACAUUUUGUUGUUGUCUAGACAAUACUGGGGCUAUCCUCUUACGCACACGUCACAUCUUACUUCGUCGCGUUUAAACUGACAAUUGAUUCAGUAACUGAAUUUAGAACAGUCGACUAAAUUCAGCCAAAUGUAAUAAGCCUUUAAGCAUUGGCGAGGCGGAGUGGGAUUAAAAAGAGAAGGGAUGAGAGAACAGAAAGAAAGAAAAAGAGAAAGUUCGGUCGCGCAGUAAAAUCCCCAUUUCCUCAAAACCUGCCGUAAGGAGCUUCGUUCCAAUAAUAUGGUUAUUGCCUAUCAUUUAUGUACAAAGCAGUUAUUGUCGCUUAGUCACGUUUGCCUUUCAAGCGUCGAUAUGUAUUUAAGACUAAUUUGUAAUGUAUAUAAGUAAUAUGUGAAAUGAAACACGGAUUCCUUUUUGUAUUUAUUUAUAAUAGUUGCAUUAUGUCACAAUUACGUUACACCCAGAUUCAUUCAAAUCAAGACAUUUCUAGCAGUCUAGGAUACAUCACACAGUACAUUUCUAUUACAUUGGCGAUACUGGUGGACAGAUUUAGAAAUAUCGUUAAUUUACUUUUCUAUUGAUUUUUUUAUUAUAAAAUAAGGACUUUUACGUGUAGGGAAAGUAUGAGAAACUUUUUAUUUCUGAAUAAUUAUUAUUGGUGUUUUAUUUUAACAAAGAAACGAAGUUAAUUCUUCAGACUUUUACAAUUGAAAAUCAAUUCGCUACAAAGUACACUACAAGCGAAAUUUUAUCAUAUUAUGAAUGUUUCUGAUCAUAAAUAUUAAAAUAUUUUUAAAGAAAUUUUAAAAUAAAACUAAGCCUCACCUUUCCAGUCACUUAUGAAUUUAUAAUUUAAUUAGUUAAUUAAUUGGUACACAGUUUUUGACAGUUUAUAUAAUUUAUUGCAAUUUGUUAAUAUUAUAUUGCUGAGAAGAUACAAUUGCUAAGAUAUUCUAGCUGAUUGUUGUGUAACAACUAUCUAUUACUUCAUCAUACAUACAGUUUACUAAGUUUAUUCUAUAAAAUGCUAUGUAGUUUUUAUAAUACCAUAUGCAUGGUAGUGCAAAAGAUUUUUCAGUGGAAAAGCAAACUAUUUACAUAAACUUAUUCUUAAUUUGACGUUUCAUAACGCAAAUCUACUAAAACGUCCGUGUUAUUAAAAUAAUGUAACAAAGAAAAUAAUUAAACUAAUUAAUAGAAAUAGAAAUAAAUUUCUAUACAAAUACAGUUGUAGUGUACAAAAUAUUGAUUUUAUAUCAUCGCUACGUAAAAUCAGUGAGUAAUGAGUGACUUGUAAACAAAAACUUCUGAAUUGUUUACUACCAAAGGAAUGAAUAAAAAUUAAAUAAAGACACCUUUUACCUUUAUUAAGUCUAAUUACUACAGUAACAUACCACAAUUUUUAACUACUAUCAAUCAAUUUGGGUACUAGUUUGGAAUAAAUGAAAUUAAAUUAAAAUUUGUAUUAUGAAGCAAAAAAA